GAUGGUGAAAGAAAGGUCCGUUGGAUAAGCUGGAAGAAAAUGUGUGCUAGCAAGCGGGACGGCGGGAUGGGGUUUCGUGAUCCGGAAGCUUUUAACCAAGCGCUGCUUGCCAAGCAAGCUUGGCGAAUUCUUCAAGUCCCAACCUCUCUCUGUGCCCGUGUGCUUAAGGCUCGAUACUUCAAGGAUGACCCGAUUCUAACGGAUUCGUGCCCUUCAUGUGGCUCAUAUACGUUCAGGAGUGUGCUGCAUGGGAGGGAC
rnacentral:rRNA from 1 species